rnacentral:rRNA from 1 species
AGAACGAACGCUGGCGGCAGGCCUCAAACAUGCAAGUCUAGGGGGCGUAGCAAUACGUCACCGGCGGACGGGUGCGUAACACGUGGGAAUGUACUUAUUGGUUCGGAACAACUCAGGGAAACUUGAGCUAAUACCGAAUGUGCCCGUAAGGGGAAAGAUUUAUCGCCAAUAAAUCAGCCCGCGUCCGAUUAGCUAGUUGGUGGGGUAAAGGCUCACCAAGGCGACGAUCGGUAGCUGUUCUGAGAGGAAGAUCAGCCACACUGGGACUGAGACACGGCCCAGACUCCUACGGGAGGCAGCAGUUGGGAAUCUUGGACAAUGGGGGAAACCCUGAUCCAGCCAUGCCGCGUGAGUGAUGAAGGCCUUAGGGUUGUAAAACUCUUUCGGCGGGGACGAUAAUGACGGUACCCGCAGAAGAAGCUCCGGCUAACUUCGUGCCAGCAGCCGC